GUGCUGCUGAGGAGUCCCAGACUAGGACGAAAGAGCUGUCCAGUAC
rfam:Trichobilharzia regenti genome assembly, scaffold: TRE_scaffold0003043